rnacentral:rRNA from 1 species
UGGUAGUNCACGCCGUAAACGAUGAGUGCUAGGUGUUAGGCCCUUUCCGGGGCUUAGUGCCGCAGCUAACGCAUUAAGCACUCCGCCUGGGGAGUACGACCGCAAGGUUGAAACUCAAAGGAAUUGACGGGGGCCCGCACAAGCGGUGGAGCAUGUGGUUUAAUUCGAAGCAGCGCGAAGAACCUUACCAGGUCUUGACAUCCCGAUGCCCGCUCUAGAGAUAGAGUUUUACUUCGGUACAUCGGUGACAGGUGGUGCAUGGUUGUCGUCAGCUCGUGUCGUGAGAUGUUGGGUUAAGUCCCGCAACGAGCGCAACCCUUAUUGUUAGUUGCCAUCAUUCAGUUGGGCACUCUAGCGAGACUGCCGGUAAUAAACCGGAGGAAGGUGGGGAUGACGUCAAAUCAUCAUGCCCCUUAUGACCUGGGCUACACACGUGCUACAAUGGCUGGUACAACGAGUCGCAAGUCGGUGACGGCAAGCUAAUCUCUUAAAGCCAGUCUCAGUUCGGAUUGUAGGCUGCAACUCGCCUACAUGAAGUCGGAAUCGCUAGUAAUCGCGGAUCAGCACGCCGCGGUGAAUACGUUCCCGGGCCUUGUACACACCGCCCGUCACACCACGAGAGUUUGUAACACCCGAAGUCGGUGAGGUAACCUUUUAGGAGCCANCCGCCU